rnacentral:rRNA from 1 species
GAAUAUUGGGCAAUGGACGCAAGUCUGACCCAGCCAUGCCGCGUGCAGGAUGAAGGCCUUCUGGGUUGUAAACUGCUUUUAUCUAGGAAGAAAAAACCCCUGCGGGGGGAACUGACGGUACUAGGUGAAUAAGCACCGGCUAACUCCGUGCCAGCAGCCGCGGUACUACGUAGGUGGCUAGCGUUGUCCGGAUUUACUGGGCGUAAAGAGCGCGCAGGCGGUCGUUCAAGUCGAGUGUGAAAGCCCCCGGCCCAACUGGGGAGGGUCACUCGAUACUGAUCGACUUGAAGGCGGGAGAGGGAAGCGGAAUUCCCGGUGUAGUGGUGAAAUGCGUAGAUAUCGGGAGGAACACCAGUGGCGAAGGCGGCUUUCUGGUCCGUUCUUGACGCUGAGGCGCGAAAGCUAGGGUAGCAAAC